rnacentral:RNase_P_RNA from 1 species
GGAGCCUAAAAGAUGGCCGCCUGAUUUAUCAGGAGGAAAGUCCGGGCAACACAGAGCAAGGUAGUCGCUAGCGGCGACCGUCCGCAAGGAUAGGGAAAGUACCACAGAAACUUAAACUGCUAACCGGUUUUUACUAGGAGCGAUGGUGAAAAGAGUGGGGUAAGAGCCCACAGCGCGCGGUAGCGAUACAGUGCGGAGGCAAACCCUACCUGUUGCAAGGAGUGCUAUCAGCCCCUGCUCGGGGACGCACGCUCACCGCUUGAACGUUAUAGCAAUGUAGCGUCUAGAUAGAUGGUCAUCGGCUGUAUAUUAUAUAUAGUUACAGAACCCGGCUUAUUGACGGCUCAAAAU